GGAGUUGCACUGAUAGCCUAGACUGAC
rnacentral:piRNA from 1 species